GGCGGACGGGUUAGUAACGCGUGGGAACGUGCCCUUCUCUGCGGAAUAGCCACUGGAAACGGUGAGUAAUACCGCAUACGCCCUUCGGGGGAAAGAUUUAUCGGAGAAGGAUCGGCCCGCGUUAGAUUAGAUAGUUGGUGGGGUAAUGGCCUACCAAGUCUACGAUCUAUAGCUGGUUUUAGAGGAUGAUCAGCAACACUGGGACUGAGACACGGCCCAGACUCCUACGGGAGGCAGCAGUGGGGAAUCUUAGACAAUGGGCGCAAGCCUGAUCUAGCCAUGCCGCGUGUGUGAUGAAGGUCUUAGGAUCGUAAAGCACUUUCGCCAGGGAUGAUAAUGACAGUACCUGGUAAAGAAACCCCGGCUAACUCCGUGCCAGCAGCCGCGGUAAUACGGAGGGGGUUAGCGUUGUUCGGAAUUACUGGGCGUAAAGCGCGCGUAGGCGGAUUGGAAAGUUGGGGGUGAAAUCCCGGGGCUCAACCCCGGAACUGCCUCCAAAACUAUCAGUCUAGAGUUCGAGAGAGGUGAGUGGAAUUCCAAGUGUAGAGGUGAAAUUCGUAGAUAUUUGGAGGAACACCAGUGGCGAAGGCGGCUCACUG
rnacentral:rRNA from 1 species